rnacentral:rRNA from 1 species
UACAGAGGUCCCAAGCGUUGUUCGGAUUCACUGGGCGUAAAGGGUGCGUAGGUGGUUAGGUAAGUUUGGCGUGAAAUCUCCGGGCCUAACCCGGAAACUGCGUUGAAUACUAUCUAACUAGAGGAAUGGAGGGGAGACUGGAAUACUUGGUGUAGCAGUGAAAUGCGUAGAUAUCAAGUGGAACACCAGUGGCGAAGGCGAGUCUCUAGACAUUUCCUGACACUGAGGCACGAAAGCCAGGGGAGCAAACGGG